GGACAAAGAGAGAUGCUAAUCUUGAACAGUUAGCUUCAACUGUCCACAAACUGUCCACAGAAACAGAGAGAGGGGCAAGGAAGGCAGGCAAGAAAGAACAAGGAAGGAAUAUGAAGCAGUUAAAGGGGCCGUAGUAUGUCCCAGAAAGUAGACAAUACUGUGUGGAGCCAAGGCUAGAGGGGCAAUCAGCCCCACAACAAUAAGGGUGGAGACAGAGCCCAACUACAAACAACGGCCCCAAUGGCGAAGGCCCUACUCCAGUCUGGCUAAGCUCCACCGCCUGCAGGGGCAACCAGCAGGGCAGCGCAGAGCUCCACUGUGUGGAUAUCGAUCGCACAGGAGAAAGUGGGGAGCCAAGCAGGCAACUCCACAGAUGGCCAGGGCAGUGAAGGAGACAGAAACAGACAGAGGAAGUGCAUUAGUGAGGCAGGUUCCUCUGAUGCUGUUAGCGCUUCCCCCUGGGAGAUAAGAGAGAUGUUGAUGACAUGGUUUUAGAGAGGACAGCUUUUAAAAAAAAAAAAAGAAAAGAAAAGAAAGACACAGAGAGAGACGGGGGACCUAACAGAGAAUCUAAAGCUAAUUUGUAACUUGAAGAGCUGCUGGAUCAUCUCCAUAAUGGGCCGUCUGCCCACAAACAAGCUCCUCUCAGGGGGUAAAUGAGAUCAGGCCAGCCCAGGACCAGCUGGUGGCUUGGAUCAAUGACACCAGAUAGACCAGAUACAGAGACAGGGGAAGAGACCAGAACCGAGGCAUCUGGAGAGAAGGGCAGAAACGCUGCUGCCCAAGAGGCUCUGGUGCUCUCUUGAGAUUCACAGAGGGGGGACACGGACAUCCGCACGCAAUGUACAACCGGAACGUCUCUGUCCUUAAGAGGAUUAUGCCGUCACGUUUUAAGUGGAAUGUGGCACGUUCCAGAUGGAAUCUGAUCUCUUGCAGGAUGGCAGACAGGUUGCAUGGUCAGGCUGAUCUGCACCUACAAAAUACAUCCUUCUGAGAAGCACACAUCUGGCCUUAAAACGGCACAUCUGUCCAGGACAGAGACACUUAUUUGAGCAAUUCAUAGGAAGUUGGUGAUUUAUGUUAGAGCAAAGAAUGAAAAAGGCAAAGCAAGAUUUAUGUCAACAGGGUAAACUGAUAUGACUGAGAAAUAAAUUGGCUGUUACAGCUGCUUAUGGUAAGCACCAGUGUCAGGCCCAAAUGCCUAUCAUUCCUGUUGAGCCUGCGGUGAGGGUAGGCUGGCUAGACACUAAUAUAAUCUUGACCAGUUUAGCCACAAACACACGGCAAUGGCGAUGUAUGGACGACGACAUUGACUCCAUUAUCUCAGAGCCAAAAUUGUUAGAGGAGAUUGGAUGACUAAGGAUAGAGCAACCAUCAGUCUGGACCAAUUUUUUAACUAUAUCGGUGACCAGAUUGCACCAAAACGCAAAAAAAAAAAAAAAAAUCAAGGCGCCACAAACACAAUGUGCAAUGACAAAUCUGGUCUUGAAGCCUAGCAACAGGGCUGUGAACCAUGUCCAUUAUCCAGCCUCCCACCAGAGGAAUUCAGAGAGCCCAAACACAGCAAAUUACUGCAGCUGCUGGCAAAUACAGUCUCAAAACCACGUCGCCAGUUGCCAACUGCAUGCCCUGACAACUGCGACGCCACCAACCAAGGCUGCUAUCAAGGCUAGAGCAGCUAGACGACAGCAAAGUUUAUCUCUUCUUUGUCCUCACUGUGAAAAUUCAAUGCGGUGCCCGUGGCGGUUUCCUCAAACCUCAAUCAGCCAGCAAACAAAAGGAAAUGCAGCCAAACAUACUGUUUCUGUUGGUGUUUUGAUAAUCUCC
ensembl:lncRNA